rnacentral:lncRNA from 1 species
UAUUACUCAUAGCCCCCCCUCACUCUCUCGCUUCUAGAAUGCUUCUAUCGAUUUCUCUCUCUAGCAUCUUCUUCUCUUUUAUACUCAAACAUUAGGAAGACCAUAAAGCAACCCAAAAUCAUUACAAAUAUAGAAUGUAAUUGAGGUACUGUUAAUGUUAAUUAAUACUCCAUUGUUGAAAAAAAUAGAAAUCUCACGAAGGAUUGUGCUUGGGACGAUCUUCCGAAGUUUGGUCUUCUUCUUCUUCAAGACCACGAUUCUUACCCAUAGCCCCCUCUCAGUCUAGACUGCUUCCACUGUUGAUUUCCCUCUCUGUCUCCUUCUUCUAGUCUGCGUUUGAGUAAGAGAGAGAGAGAGCGACUAGCUGUAUAAAGGGAAAAAACAGCUGUAAAAACAGAAAAAAAAAUAGGAAAAAUUAGUUGUAAAAAGAAAA